UAUUGCGCUGAAGUCGUUUCCACAGCAAAUUCUGAGAGCCCUUACCAAAGACAUAGUUUUGUGACUUUUAAAGUCUGCAGGCUGCUUGGGAAGGACUCUGGGAGAUCCUGAACCACACAAGGCUGAUGUUGCGGGUCGGAAGCUGGGGACGGGAUGGAAUCUGGGUGAGGUCUGAAAGAAAGUGAUCAAAACCAGAAUGAAAAGCAAUUCCAAAGCAACUGGGAUGACUCCUACAUAAUCACCAAGUCAGGUAUGGACAGCUGAGGAAUCUGUGUCCUCAAAGUUUUCACACCAAAAUUAAUAAAAAAUUUCCUUGUUUCCUCUUUUA